rnacentral:rRNA from 1 species
UACAGAGGUCUCAAGCGUUUGUUCGGAUUCAUUGGGCGUAAAGGGUGCGUAGGCGGCGCGGUAAGUCGGGUGUGAAAUCUUGGAGCUUAACUCCGAAACUGCAUUCGAUACUGCCGUGCUUGAGGACUGGAGAGGAGACUGGAAUUUACGGUGUAGCGGUGAAAUGCGUUGAGAUCGGAAGGAACGCCCGUGGCGAAAGCGAGGUCCUGGACGUCUGCUGACGCUGAGACGCGAAAGCCAGGGGAGCGAAC